rnacentral:rRNA from 1 species
CUAAGUUUNAUGGCGACCGGCGCACGGGUGAGUAACACGUAUCCAACCUGCCGAUGACUCGGGGAUAGCCUUUCGAAAGAAAGAUUAAUACCCGAUGGCAUAGUUCUUCCGCAUGGUAGAACUAUUAAAGAAUUUCGGUCAUCGAUGGGGAUGCGUUCCAUUAGGUUGUUGGCGGGGUAACGGCCCACCAAGCCUUCGAUGGAUAGGGGUUCUGAGAGGAAGGUCCCCCACAUUGGAACUGAGACACGGUCCAAACUCCUACGGGAGGCAGCAUG